CUUCCGCGGACGCCAUGUUGGUACCGGUGCUCCCGCACUUCCACUUGCCACGCGAGCUGUGAGAACUGUGGUGGUCUUUUUCGUGAAGCUCCUUGACGAGGGAUCGGUUUACCUUACCAAGCAUGUACAGGCGCAUACCUCACAGUUAUCAUUUUGUCGGGGAACGAAGCUUGAAGGCGGAGGGUUGUUGUCAUGGUUACAGAGCACACACUAGUGGGUACUGCUGAUAAGAGGAUCAGGUGAGAUAUCGUUCUAAUAAGGCAACAAUCCAACGAGCAUUAUUGUCCCAGAUGCAAUAGCGUAAUCAAGACUUAUAAUAGAUAAAGAUAUUGUUUUUAAACUAAUAGUUACAUUUUAAAGUUAUUUUUAGUUAACAUCUUCUAGAUUUAAAUGUAACGUAAAAUUUAUUUUGUGUUAUUUAAUAAAGUCUCAUAAAUCCAAAAGAACAUUUUCUUAGAGAUGAAGAUAAACAUUCACCAAGAUUAUACACGUUUAUAGUAGCUGUAUUUAAUUGAAAAUAAAAAUUUUAUUUUAGAAAAUUAAACAUUAAACGAUUUUAUAACUUAAGUAAUAAUUAGCUAUUCUAAAACUUUUAUGAAUCAUUAUAUCGACUACGCCAUUGCAAACAAGAGAGGACAUGUGUGGCUACGAAGAUUAGUCGAGACAUUGCAUUAUCACCAAAAAUACACAAGGAUGAACUUUCGGCCGUUCACUGACUCCUUGCCACUCAUCAAAACCGGAUGUUUUUGUAAAUAUUAUAGAGAAGUUCUUGUUAAACGCAUUUGUAACUUAAAUUUCAAUAAUUCGACAAAUAUAUUAUUUUUUUAAAUAACAUAAAAAUGUAAUUCUAAUAAAAAAAAAUAUAGAUAGCAUAUUUUAUGUUACGCAAUUAUAUGUAGGUAAUAAUGCAUUGAAUUAAUUUUCUGCAAUUCAUUAUAAAACGUAUUUUUUGUUAUUAAUAAUUACAUUAUAAUUUCUAAUUAUCUAAUUUCACUAAUAAAAAUCAACAAAGUUUAUACACAUAAAUCAUUUUCAAAACAAACUUACCUUAAAAACCUUAGAUUUAAGCUAUAUAAUUGUAUCAUAAUUAUAAAUCAUUAGAACGAAGCUUUUUAGCGCUUCGUUUAAAAUAUUCUAUUUUAUUUAGAAAUAAACUAAACUAUCUGAUAUACACAAUACACUAUUCCAAUAUACAGUACUUUAAAAUAUAUUAUACAAAAUAUGUUGACGCAAACUACUAAUAAAAUUGCGUUACGGAAGGAAAGAAAAUAUAUGUUAUAACUGUCGCAUAUAUUUAUUCGCAUAGCCGUCAGAUAUGUUUCUAGAAUAUUCAUCGUAGUUGCUAUAUGUUCCUUAUUUUAUUGUAUUAUGUUACACUAUCAUUAGCUUUAUUUCUUUCUUUAGCUUUAUUUAUUCCUUAGCUUUAUUCUACCGCUAUCGCGCGAUAUGUCUUCCCAGACAGCAUGCAUGUCUAAAAGAUGUCAAAAAAAUAUUUUAAAGUCUUUUAGGCCAUAUAUGCUAUUUGGGUUAUGUUACAUCGAGGACAUCAACCAGAUAAAAAAAAAUAUCCUUCAGAUUACUGAAAGAUGGCUUGCACUUUUUCGAAAAGUUUCGAAAAGUAAUCUUUUAGUGAUAAAAGAUAUUUUACAUAUGCAAAGUUUUGAAAUAUUUAUGGAGAUGUCUUGAAGAUAUCUUUUUAAAAUCUAAAAAAUUUAUAUGACAAAUAUCAUAAAAAUAUCUUUUAAGCUGUCUUCAACUUGGGUCUUUUUAAAUAUUUUCCUGAAGUAUCUUCUGAAUAUAUCUUUAAUAAGACAUCCUUUAAAUAUUCAUAUGAUCUGAAUAUUCUCUGGAUAUAUAUCCGUUCGAUUAGAAUAUCCUUGUGUUUUAUGUAUAAUUUCAUAGAAUAUAAAGAUACUUAUACGUAAUCUUACAUAAGAAAAUUCCCAUAUACAUACAUAUAUGUACAAUUACAACAAUAUCAUUCGUAAUUUGGUAUCAUCUUAGAUGUCGAUACAAGAUUUGUCGAUAAAAUCUUCUUUGG